AGGGAGCCCGAGCCGGGCUGCGGAACGCGAAGCCCGCGGCCGCGACGCCCCUGCCGGCCCGUGGCGCCUCGCCUGCCCGGGUUGAAAGGCUGCGGGCGCACGGCCCGACCCGGCCCGGAGGUGCUGGUGGCGGUGCUGGGGAUGGGGCCGAGCGGGGGGCUGCUUUGCUGUCUUUUCAAACGACACUUGAGACUCUCACCCAGUCCUUUUCCAUGGCCCCAAGCCGCGACUUACUGGAGUGGAAGGAUGCAAGGCCUCGCCAAAGAUGGUUGAAAAAAAAAUGCCCGUGAGCCUCUCUACCCAGGAUCUUGAAGCCAAGGUGGUGGUUGUGCUGUCCUCCUCGUAAUGGUGGCAAUAAGUAAGAAGAGAGCACGCUAUCUUCAGAUAAAUUCAAUCUGAGAUUCUCCCAGGAGGUGGAAGAAAGGGCUCCCUUCUGUUAGUUAGUGGUUUGGAGCCCUUUUCGCCUUAAACUGAGCCACAAAAGAAUGGAAGACACCCCUGGGGUGGGGAGAAAGCCCUGGUGUAAAAGACACACGUUUGCUUUCAGAGAAAAAGCCACUGGGGCCAGAUUGAAGCAUGGCAUGUUUGGUUCAUGUAGGGUGGUUGUUGUUUCUUUUUUUAAAAAAAAACUGGGGGGGAAUGAUAUUGAGUAAACACGAUGUAAUAGCUGGUCUUUACGUUCUAUAAGGGAAGAUAGUGAACAAAUGGAACAGGCACACGUUGUACAUACAGCAGGUGGUCAUGGCUUAAAGAACACAGGCAAAAAAGAUACGGACAGAAACCCAGCCAAAGGCCAAGAAGGGAGAUAAUCGGAACCUAUCUGAGAGGGAGACACUGCGUUUCCAUGCCAGAUGAAAUAUGCUGUUUUCCAGCCCUAUGUCCUGGUGCCCAUCUUGUGCACAAACGAGCAAGCCACUAAAAGAGGUUGGGUUUUUUGCUGCUGCUGCUGCUGCUGUUAUUGUUUUAAGAACAAGAGAAACCUCCAUGUCAAGCUAAUGGUGCUGACUGGAAGUAGGACAAAAUGGAGGGACCUGGGGGGGAGGGGGGACCUUCCACCAUUACCUCCUAGAAAGGCUCCCUCCCUCCCUCCUCUUUGCUUGCACUCUGAAGACAAUACAACCACUGGAAUAGCAGUGAAGAAUCCGGGCAAAAGUGUUCCUGUGGGUUUCAUUUUAGAUCAGACUGGUGAAGGUCUGCAGAGUGUACAGAGAAGUUUUUCUGUUAAAUCUCAGAAUUCUCUCGCAUUAACUUCCGUGAAGGAAGCCGCCAUUGUCCUCUGCCUUGGGGCAGAGGUGGGAUGUGCAGUGGAAAAAGAUCUUUUGCUCUUUAAAGACUUUUUUUUUUUCAUGCAAACGCCUUAGACUGCCUCACACGAGAGAGUUCUUUAGCUUCAACCUGCGCUUGUGCCACAGUGCACAAAAGUCCCAGUGCCUCGACACACAGGGUUAGGAAGACCUAUUCUGUCUGCUGACUCUGCCAACCCCAGCAUCACAGUUUGUCAGUGUUACAAAAUGAUGAAAUCGAAACUCUCAUCUGCUUGGAGCCAGAGAACAAUGCCACCCAACACACUGUGUGUUGAGUUUCAACCUUACUUGGGCUUGAUUUCAUUUGAAAGGAAGCCUUUUCCUUCGUCUGAAGGUAGGCCAUUGUUAAUAUGCAUGUCAAAAAUAUUAUGUGCAUUGGAGAGAAGACUGGCAGGACCUGCUAAUCUGAGGUCCUGAUAGGCUAACGCCCUGUUACAGUAUAUGGAAUUUGAUCAUGCAGAUGCCCUAGGAAGAUCGUGAGUUGGUUUGAAAUCUUUAGGAAACGGCUCUCUUGCCCCUCCCCCACUCCCUACCAUACCACGGAAAGCUUCGGGAAGAGGGGUUUAAAUGGUUACAAGAGUUGUGCCCCUUAAACCAAAGUCUAACUUGCUUAUCCUAGGAAUCCAGCUGUGCAACUGCCCUAUGAAUUUGUAAUGCCAAAGGCUUUGUGAGCAGGGCUCCAUCAAAGCCUGGUGUUGUGGUCAAGCCUUGGCUGGGGGAUUUGGUUUCAUAGCCCACGCUCAUGGUUUGCACAAAAGACAGGAGCUAACACUGCAUCUGCUUUUAAGCCACAAACAACCAAAAAAGUAAAAGAUAACCAUUUCUAGCAAAUUCUCUCCUUUCUCUUUUUUACAAUGAGGGCUUCAGAGAAAGCUCUCAGCCAGAUAAACCGAUAGUUAAAAACAAAGCACCCAUUUGAACCCAUUUUGCAAAAUCAUUGAAUUCCGCUGCUCUGAGUUGGGGGUUGGGAGCAAGACCCCUCUACCAAAACAAGCACUACAAAAAAAGUGGAUUCUAAUAUGCUCUGGGUGUAAGACUACCUGUAUACCGUUCCGCUUUGAACAACAAUAAACAGUCAUGUGACUGCAA
rnacentral:lncRNA from 1 species